AAAUACAACAUUCUGAUGUCAGCAAUGCCUUAGCAGCAUGUAAAUAUUGGAGUUAAGCUCUUGUGAAAGUCCCCAAUAUUAAUUGUGCUGCUGGAGCAAGGCUGACUGCUUCUGCUGCUGCCAAA
rnacentral:pre_miRNA from 17 species